rnacentral:SRP_RNA from 1 species
GCCAGGCGCUGUGGUGCGUGCCUGUAGUCCCAGCUACUUGGGAGGCUGAGGCUGGAGGAUCGCUUGAGUCCAGAAAUUCUGGGCUGUAGUGCACUAUGCUGAUCGGGGUCUGCACUAAGUUCGGCAUCAAUAUGGUGACCUACCAGGAGCAGGGGACCACCAGGUUGCCUAAGGAGGGGUGAACCAGCCCAGGUCAGAAACAGAGCAGGUCAAAACUCCCAUGCUGAUCAGUAGUGGGGUCGCGCCUGUGAAUAGCCACUGCACGCCACCCUGGGCAACAUAGCGAGACCCCAUCUCU